CAGUAGCCGCGGUAAUACGUAGGGUGCAAGCGUUAAUCGGAAUUACUGGGCGUAAAGCGUGCGCAGGCGGUUUGUUAAGACAGAUGUGAAAUCCCCGGGCUUAACCUGGGAACUGCAUUUGUGACUGGCAAGCUAGAGUAUGGCAGAGGGGGGUGGAAUUCCGCGUGUAGCAGUGAAAUGCGUAGAUAUGCGGAGGAACACCGAUGGCGAAGGCAGCCCCCUGGGCCAAUACUGACGCUCAUGCACGAAAGCGUGGGGAGCAAACAGGAUUAGAUACCCCGGUAGUCCCUGUCUCUUAUAC
rnacentral:rRNA from 1 species